CCUGAACGCUGGCGGCGUGGCUAAGACAUGCAAGUCGAACGGGACCCGCAAGGGUUCAGUGGCGGACGGGUGAGUAAUGAAUCGCUAACGUGCCCUAGAGCCUGGGAUAGCUGCCCGAAAGGGCAGGUAAUACCAGAUGAAAUACCCCGAUCGCAUGAUCGGGAUCUCAAAGCCGCAAGGCACUCCUGGAGCGGGCGAUUUCGUAUCAGCUAGUUGGUGAGGAACGGCUCACCAAGGCGACGACGCGUAGCCGGACUGAGAGGUUGGCCGGCCACAUUGGGACUGAGACACUGCCCAGACUCCGUACGGGGGCUGCAGUAACGAAUCUUCCACAAUGCAACGAAAGUGUGAU
rnacentral:rRNA from 1 species